CUCAGCCACUGAGAGAUACAUCAGCUUGAUGUUCACUGCCAUUCUAAAGCUCUCUGCAUUCUUUGUGAAAAGGUUUUGAUGGUGUAAGAAAAUAAGAAAGCCACAUCUUCAAAAUGCAGCUUCUGAAACCAGAUAAAAGCUUGAAUUCCACUUGGAGAGGCUGAUCCACAGGGGCAAAUGCAAAAGGAAGGUGCUCAAGGCCUGUGUCCUGGGAUGCUGAAAACAUCAGAUGUGGCCAUAGCUGGAAACAGGGCAACAAAAUGCUAGACUGCAGAUGCUGGAUUCUGUUUUACACUUAUUUUUUCCACAGAUCUCAAGGGAAAGAAACUAUCACUCACAGCUCAUACCUGAACAACAGAAUGAACUCUUUCAUCCCGACAAAGAAAGAUUACUUGACAGAACCAGAGAGUGUAUCCACAAUCCUGACUGUGAAAGAAGGACUUUGAUACAGUUUGAUUAUUUUUUUUCUUCGUGCAGAAACUCUAUUUCAGUUUCAGAGGACUCUUUAUUUUGUUUUGAUUCUUUUCCUUUUGUGUAUCUUGGUCAAUAAAUGUCCAAACUUUG
rnacentral:lncRNA from 1 species